rnacentral:lncRNA from 1 species
GUAGUAGUAGUGCCAAUAGCAGUAGUAGUACCGAUAGUAGUGGUGGUGGAGGUAGUGGCAGUACCAAUAGUAGUAGUACCAAUAGUAGAAGUAGUAGUACCACCAAUAGUAGUAGUACUGGUGGUGGUAGUAGUAGUAGUAGUACCAAUAGUAGUAGUAAUAGUAGUACCAAUAGUAGUGGUGGUGGUGGUAGUAGUACCAAUACCAGUAGUAGUAGUGGUAGUGCAGUAGUAGUAGUAGUAGUAGUAGUAGUACCACUACUAGCAGUAGUAGCAGUAGUAGUAGUGGUGGUGGUAGUAGUAGUACCAAUAGUAGUAGUAGUGGUAGUAGUUGUGGUAGUGGUAGUUGUAGUGGUAGUGGUGGUGGUGGUGGUUGUAGUAGUAGUAGUAGUGGUAGUUGUGGUGGUAGUUGUAGUGGGGGUGGUGGUGGAAGUAGUUGUAGUGGUGGUGGUAGUGGUGGUGUUUGUAGUAGUGGUAGUAGUAGUGGUGGUAGUUGUAGUAGUGGUAGUUGUAGUAGUGGUGGUGGUGGUGGUGGUGGUGGUGGUAGUUGUAGUGGUGGUAGUGGUGGUGUUUGUAGUAGUGGUGGUAGUAGUGGUGGUGUUAGUAGUGGUAGUUGUAGUAGUGGUAGUAGUAGUAGUAGUAGCGGUGGUAGUAGUGGUAGUUGUAGUUGUAGUAGUAGUGGUAGUGGUAGUUGUAGUAGUGGUAGUUGUAGUAGUAGUGGUGGUGGAGGUGGUAGUUGUGGUAGUAGUAGUAGUGGUAGUUGUGGUAGUAGUAGUAGUGGUAGUUGUGGUAGUUGUAGUAGUGGUGGUGGUAGUUGUAGUAGUGGUGGUGGUAGUUGUAGUAGUAGAGUGGUAGUUGUAGUAGUAGUGGUGGUGGUAGUAGUGGAAGUAGUAGUAGUGGUAGUUGUAGUGGUGGUGUUAAAAGUUGUAGUAGUGGUGGUAGUGGUAGUAGUGGUAGUUGUAGUAGUGGUGGUGUUAAAAGUUGUAGUAGUGGUGGUAGUGGUAGUAGUGGUAGUUGUUGUAGUGGUGGUGGUGGUGGUGGUAGUUGUAGUAGUAGUGGUAGUUGUAGUGGUUGUGGUAGUAGUAGUGGUGGUGGUUGUAGUGGUAGGUGUAGUGGUGGUGGUGGUGGUGGUAGUUGUAGUAGUAGUUCCACUAGUAGUAGUAGUAGUAGUAGUAGUAGUAGCAGUACCAAUAGUAGUAGUAGUAGUGGUGGUGGUAGUUGUAGUAGUGGUGGUGGUAGUUGUAGUAGUAGAGUGGUAGUUGUAGUAGUAGUGGUGGUGGUAGUAGUGGAAGUAGUAGUAGUGGUAGUUGUAGUGGUGGUGUUAAAAGUUGUAGUAGUGGUGGUAGUAGUGGUAGUUGUUGUAGUAGUGGUGGUGUUAAAAGUUGUGGUGGUAGUGGUAGUAGUGGUAGUUGUUGUAGUGGUGGUGGUGGUGGUGGUAGUUGUAGUAGUAGUGGUAGUUGUAGUGGUUGUGGUAGUAGUAGUGGUGGUGGUUGUAGUGGUAGGUGUAGUGGUGGUGGUGGUGGUGGUGGUGGUAGUUGUAGUAGUAGUUCCACUAGUAGUAGUAGUAGUAGUAGUAGUAGUAGUAGUAGUAGCAGUACCAAUAGUAGUAGUAGUGGUGGUGGUAAUGGUAGUUGUAGUAGUGGUGGUGGAGGUGGUAGUUGUAGUGGUGGUGGUAGUUGUAGUAGUAGUAGUAGUACCACUAGUAGUAGUAGUGGUGGUGGUGGUGGUGGUAGUUGUAGUAGUAGUAGUAGUACCACUAGUAGUAGUAGUAGUAGUAGUAGUAGCAGUACCAAUAGUAGUAGUAGUGGUGGUGGUAAUGGUAGUGGUGGUAGUAGUAGUGGUGGUAGUAGUAGUGGUGGUGGAGGUGGUAGUGGUAGUAGUAGUUGUAGUAGUGGUAGUUGUACUAGUAGUGGGGGUGGUGGUAGUUGUAGUGGUGGUGGUGGUAGUGGUAGUAGUAGUAGUGGUGGUGGUAGUUGUAGUAGUAGUGGUGGUGGUGGAGGUGGUGGUGGUAGUUGUAGUGGUGGUGGUAGUUGUAGUAGUAGUAGUACCACUAGUAGUAGUAGUGGUGGUGGUGGUGGUGGUGGUAGUUGUAGUAGUAGUAGUACCACUAGUAGUAGUAGUAGUAGUAGUAGUAGUAGCAGUACCAAUAGUAGUAGUAGUGGUGGUGGUAAUGGUAGUGGUGGUAGUAGUAGUGGUGGUAGUAGUAGUGGUGGUGGAGGUGGUAGUUGUGGUAGCUGUAGUAGUAGUUGUAGUAGUGGUAGUUGUACUAGUAGUGGG